UACGUAGGGGGCAAGCGUUGUCCGGAUUUAUUGGGCGUAAAGAGCGUGUAGGCGGUUCGGUAGGUCCGUUGUGAAAACUCGAGGCUCAACCUCGAGACGCCGAUGGAAACCAUCGAACUAGAGUCCGGAAGAGGAGAGUGGAAUUCCUGGUGUAGCGGUGAAAUGCGCAGAUAUCAGGAAGAACACCCGUGGCGAAGGCGGCUCUCUAGGACGGUACUGACGCUGAGAAGCGAAAGCGUGGGGAGCGAACAGG
rnacentral:rRNA from 1 species